rnacentral:lncRNA from 10 species
CAAAGGGCAACUGUGACUGCUUAGCUCCCAACAUCCUCCUAGGGUCACUGGGAUGCACCAGGCCUGGGUGUUGCCCAGCCCAAGGAGGAGGAAAAAGGACCAGGGAGGGCACAGCUACACCCCAAAGGGAAGACCCCUGGAACCAGCACACAUCAUUUUCAGCUGCACCUCAUGGCCUGGACUGAGCUCACAUGACCUCAACACACGUGAGAACGCAUAGGAAAUGCAGGCUUCGUAUGGGCAGCCACAGCCAUCCGCCCAGCUGGCAUGGAAGAUGCCAGGACUGAAAGAAGGGAAGACAGGACCAGCAGUCUUCCCCAAGUGACCCAGGGUGAGCUCUGUCACCUGAGCCCCAGCGAGGAAAACAGCAGCACUGCUAGUGUUGCCACGCAGAGUAAAAGGAGACCAUCCCCGCGAACAAGCAGCACGGUGCCUGCCGCACUGCAAGCGCUCACAAAUGACCGCUGUCUUCACCACCAGCACAUUUGCUAGUAACAUCAGUUUGGGGAAAACGCUGAUGGGAGCUGUUAGCACCUGAAUCCCAGGACCAGAGCUAAGAGGAGGACGGCUCACUCUCACAGAGCCCCGGCUGUCGUCCUGGCAGCAUGACGUCCCAGAGAAGGUUAGAACAUGAAGCUUCCCGAGAGGUCAGGGAAGCUGGUCUGUAGGUGAAGGCAUCCACACUGCCCAGCCCUUUGAUCCUGCUUCGAGUCCCGCUUCUGGCUGGAAGAGGCUCCUACCCUUUCUGGCUGGGAGAGAGUUCAAGUUUAAGAAGGAACCUAUGGGUGGAAAUGAAGAGACACCCUCUCCAACAUCCCGCACUGGAGCUGUGACAACCCCUACACCCCACACAUGAACACCCCUGCCCAGGUUGUUUGAAAUGCUUGUUCUCCGGUGCCAUAAAAAAAUAGCACUUGAACAUAAAUUUAAUUUAUUUAGUAAGGCCAUUUUUACUUCCUGCAGAAAGGGUACACCCACCAGCAGUUUUGCCACCAGAGUACACCGAACAACGGAGUCAAGUUAUUUUGUAACCUGACGCGUCCAC